rnacentral:rRNA from 1 species
UACACUCCUGCGGGAGGCAGCAGUGGGGAAUAUUGGACAAUGGGCGCAAGCCUGAUCCAGCCAUGCCGCGUGAGUGAUGAAGGCCCUAGGGUUGUAAAGCUCUUUCACCGGUGAAGAUAAUGACGGUAACCGGAGAAGAAGCCCCGGCUAACUUCGUGCCAGCAGCCGCGGUAAUACGAAGGGGGCUAGCGUUGUUCGGAUUUACUGGGCGUAAAGCGCACGUAGGCGGACUAUUAAGUCAGGGGUGAAAUCCCGGGGCUCAACCCCGGAACUGCCUUUGAUACUGGUAGUCUCGAGUUCGAGAGAGGUGAGUGGAAUUCCGAGUGUAGAGGUGAAAUUCGUAGAUAUUCGGAGGAACACCAGUGGCGAAGGCGGCUCACUGGCUCGAUACUGACGCUGAGGUGCGAAAGCGUGGGGAGCAAACAGGAUUAGAAACCCUUGUAGUCCCAUGA